rnacentral:rRNA from 1 species
AUGGCGCUCCUCGCCGCCGUCCGCCGCCUUCCUCGGGCCCUCCGGCUCCUAAAGCCUCACCACCUCCGCACCACCUCUUCCUCCGCCUUCUUCGGCGACUCCGAGGGCUCCGCGCCCGCCUGGGAGCCGCGGUCCCCCGUCCGCUCCCCGCCGGACGACCAGUUCGCGGCGUGGGUCACGCGGCUCCGCCCGGGCUUCACCGCGUGCGACCUGGCCGACGCCAUCAACUCCGAGCAGGACCCGGACCUCGCGCUCGCGCUCUUCCGCUGGGCGGGGCUCCGCCCGGGCUUCCGCCACGCGCCGGCCUCCUACAUCGCCGCCCUCAACGCCGCCUCCUCCGGCAAGCGCCCCGUCGCUGCGGAGAACCUCAUCCACGACGUGCUCGCGGGGGCCUGUCCCCCCGACCUCCAGCUCUUCAACGCCUGCCUCCGCUUCUGCUGCGACCGCCGCAGCCUCUUCCCCGUCGCAUUCGACGUGUUCAACAAGAUGCGCGCCCUCCCGGCCAACGCCGGCUGCCGCCCCAACGUCGAGACCUUCACGCUGCUCCUCAGCACCGUGGUCCGCCGCGUCCGCCGCCCGCCGGCGUCGCUGGUCUACCUCCACGCCGUCAGGUCCCUCUCCCGCCAGAUGAAGGCCACGGGCGUCGUCCCGGACACCUACCUGCUCAACCUCAUCAUCAAGGCGUACGGGCGGUGCCUCGAGGUGGACGACGCCCUCAAGGUGUUCCGCGAAAUGCCCCUCUACGGCUGCGACCCCAACGAGUUCACCUACGGCUACAUCGUCAAGGCCAUGUUCCAGAAGGGCAGGACCGACAACGGGUUGCUGUAUCUCAAGACGAUGAGGGACAAGGGGUUCGUGCCCAGCGGUGGCGUGUACAUGUCCGCGGUGGCCGCGCUGGCGCUGGAAUGGAGGUUCGAGGAAUCGAGAGAGGUGCUUUUGGAUAUGCUGGAUAGCAAGAGGAAGCCGGACAUGAUCACUUACAGGACGCUGCUCGAGGAGCUGUGCCGAGCUACGCGGACAGAGGACGCGUUCCAGUUGCUGGAGGAGCUGAAAGAGAGGAAGCGAGGCGCGUUGGACCAGAGGAUGUACUCGGAAUUGCUCGAUGGGCUGCACUGGAUUUCUCAGCCACAGCAGAAUAGCUUUCCUCGCCGUGACAGGGGCUCUGCCUCUGAUGAUAGGGGAUCUGAUGACUGA